rnacentral:rRNA from 1 species
UACGUAGGGGGCAAGCGUUGUCCGGAUUUAUUGGGCGUAAAGAGCUCGUAGGCGGUCUGUCGCGUCGGAUGUGAAAAACCCGGGGCUUAACCCCGGGUCUGCAUUCGAUACGGGCAGACUAGAGUGUGGUAGGGGAGGAAUCGGAAUUCCUGGUGUAGCGGUGAAAAUGCGCAGAUAUCAGGAGGAACACCGGUGGCGAAGGCGGAUCUCUGGGCCAUUUACUGACGCUGAGGAGCGAAAGCGUGGGAGCAAAACGGGG